AAAAAUGGGCCCACAUGCCCGUGUGGCCUACACAUCCAGCUUGGCCUAGCCCGUAUGGCCCACACGGCCAUACUCCAGCCACGACACGAUCGUGUCUUGCGCAUAGCGAUGCUUCCGUUGAACACAUGGCCAUGUCUCGCAGACGGACAUCCACACAGGCUACCACAUGCCCAUUUGGCAUUGAUAGUGCAAUAUUUGGGAUUUUUC
rnacentral:lncRNA from 1 species